CAUGCAAGUCGAACGAUGAUCAGGAGCUUGCUCCUGUGAUUAGUGGCGAACGGGUGAGUAACACGUGAGUAACCUGCCCCUGACUCUGGGAUAAGCGUUGGAAACGACGUCUAAUACUGGAUAUGAUCACUGGUCGCAUGGCCUGGUGGUGGAAAGAUUUUUUGGUUGGGGAUGGACUCGCGGCCUAUCAGCUUGUUGGUGAGGUAAUGGCUCACCAAGGCGACGACGGGUAGCCGGCCUGAGAGGGUGACCGGCCACACUGGGACUGAGACACGGCCCAGACUCCUACGGGAGGCAGCAGUGGGGAAUAUUGCACAAUGGGCGAAAGCCUGAUGCAGCAACGCCGCGUGAGGGAUGACGGCCUUCGGGUUGUAAACCUCUUUUAGUAGGGAAGAAGGGAGCUUCGGUUCUUGACGGUACCUGCAGAAAAAGCACCGGCUAACUACGUGCCAGCAGCCGCGGUAAUACGUAGGGUGCAAGCGUUGUCCGGAAUUAUUGGGCGUAAAGAGCUCGUAGGCGGUUUGUCGCGUCUGCUGUGAAAUCCCGAGGCUCAACCUCGGGCUUGCAGUGGGUACGGGCAGACUAGAGUGCGGUAGGGGAGAUUGGAAUUCCUGGUGUAGCGGUGGAAUGCGCAGAUAUCAGGAGGAACACCGAUGGCGAAGGCAGAUCUCUGGGCCGUAACUGACGCUGAGGAGCGAAAGCAUGGGGAGCGAACAGGAUUAGAUACCCUGGUAGUCCAUGCCGUAAACGUUGGGCGCUAGAUGUAGGGACCUUUCCACGGUUUCUGUGUCGUAGCUAACGCAUUAAGCGCCCCGCCUGGGGAGUACGGCCGCAAGGCUAAAACUCAAAGGAAUUGACGGGGGCCCGCACAAGCGGCGGAGCAUGCGGAUUAAUUCGAUGCAACGCGAAGAACCUUACCAAGGCUUGACAUACACCGGAAACGGCCAGAGAUGGUCGCCCCCUUGUGGUCGGUGUACAGGUGGUGCAUGG
rnacentral:rRNA from 1 species